CCUACGUGAGGCAGCAGUGGGGAAUAUUGGGCAAUGGGCGCAAGCCUGACCCAGCAACGCCGCGUGAAGGAAGAAGGCUUUCGGGUUGUAAACUUCUUUUCUGGGGGACGAACAAAUGACGGUACCCCAGGAAUACGCCACGGCUAACUACGUGCCAGCAGCCGGGGUAAUACGUGGGUGACAAGCGUUAUCCGGAUUUAUUGGGUGUAAAGGGCGUGUAGGUGGGAAGGCAAGUCAGAUGUGAAAGCUAUGGGCUCACCCCAUAGCCUGCAUUGGAAACUGUAUUUCUUGAGUGCUGGAGAGGCAAGCGGAAUUCCGUGUGUAGCGGUGAAAUGCGUAGAUAUACGGAGGAACACCAGUGGCGAAGGCGGAUUGCUGGACAGUAACUGACGCUGAGGCGCGAAAGCGUGGGGAGCAAACAGGAUUAGAUACCCGUGUAGUC
rnacentral:rRNA from 1 species